rnacentral:rRNA from 1 species
GGACCUGAUGCAGCCAUGCCGCGUGUGUGAAGAAGGCCUUCGGGUUGUAAAGCACUUUCAGUUGUGAGGAAAGGUUGGUAGUUAAUACCUGCCAGCUGUGACGUUAACAACAGAAGAAGCACCGGCUAACUCCGUGCCAGCAGCCGCGGUAAUACGGAGGGUGCGAGCGUUAAUCGGAAUUACUGGGCGUAAAGCGCACGCAGGCGGUUUGUUAAGCUAGAUGUGAAAGCCCCGGGCUCAACCUGGGAUGGUCAUUUAGAACUGGCAGACUAGAGUCUUGGAGAGGGGAGUGGAAUUCCAGGUGUAGCGGUGAAAUGCGUAGAUAUCUGGAGGAACAUCAGUGGCGAAGGCGGCUCCCUGGCCAAAGACUGACGCUCAUGUGCGAAAGUGUGGGUAGCGAACAGGAUUAGAUACCCUGGUAGUCCACACCGUAAACGCUGUCUACUAGCUGUUUGUGAAUUUAAUUCGUGAGUAGCGAAGCUAACGCGCUAAGUAGACCGCCUGGGGAGUACGGCCGCAAGGUUAAAACUCAAAUG